CCAAACAAGAGACCGCUUGCUAUGGCUGUACCUUUUGUAGUUGUAGCAUGCUGCCACGCACACCCACACACACUUGUACGUGAAUGCAUUUUUAUUCUUGUGGGCAAUUAACAAAUAUGUUAAUAAAGACAGUACUUACUCUGACGGCGAGCCUAGUUUCUUGUCCUUAAAUAACAAUAAACAUUGCUCUGGAAUGGCUUCGGCGCGCAGUCGAAGUCGCCGUUUACUAUUCAUACUGUCGGCAUAGUAAAAAUCAGUCUUUUUAAAAUGAUUCUCGCAAAUUCUUUGAUUUGUGUAUUCGAUAUCCAGCGAAUCAGCCCAUAAUUUUCUUUUUUGUUCAUUAACUGGCAUUCGAAACGUUUUCAGGUUGGUUCUCUUUCGACAGGCACCGCAGUAGCUCGACAUUUUUCUAGAUUAUCUAUAUAAAAAAACAAAAAACACAAAGCGCAUUUAAACAUGGGGUCAAUUGCAAUACAGGCAAGCAAACACACACACGCAAACACAAGUGGAAAAUUAUUAGAACCACUCGGAAUUUAUGUGUAUGGUGCUAUACCAUGAACUAUAUAAAAUGUUUAUAUACCAUGAACUUAAAAAAGUGACGCUUGAUUUUCACUGAGAUGUGGAGAUAUCGAUAGAAUUACGGUAUCGAUUCGACUGUGUUGAAAGUGUGACCAGAGGUUACCACAAUAUGUGGAAAAGUACAACAAGGUACCAGACAAGCCAUGGCUUAACUAAUUCUCCAUUCCAUUUGUAUUGAUUUACUUAUGAAGCAAUAGAUAUACAAUUGUUUCUCAUUCUUAUAAACAUACAACUUUUUCCUUUCUCCAAAAUUUAUAAAAUUUUCAUUGUCAUGCAGUAGCAGCUGGAAGAUCCGCUGGGAAUCCAGGGGAGAGGAGGAAGGCGAAGCCCUUAAAGCUGAAGACAAUCUGGGAGAAGAGUAAUGAGGCUGUCCGAAGCCAUCCGAAUUUCCACCUGUUGCACCGCACAGGUCGACAACUUAAAUGGGAGACCAUCCAGAAGGGCUCCUUAAAUAGCAUAAUCUAAUCACUAUCAAUUUGUUCUUUCUUGCCCGUCUUCAGUAGAUUCUCCUGGUGCAUUUUGGUGUUUGCAUGAGUUUUUAAAUUAGUUUUGUACCGGAAAUUAACGUUGCAAAUUUCACACCUG